UGGGGAAUUUUGGACAAUGGGGGCAACCCUGAUCCAGCCAUCCCGCGUGUGCGAUGAAGGCCUUCGGGUUGUAAAGCACUUUUGGCAGGGAAGAAACAGCCUGGGCUAAUAUCCCGGGCGACUGACGGUACCUGCAGAAUAAGCACCGGCUAACUACGUGCCAGCAGCCGCGGUAAUACGUAGGGUGCAAGCGUUAAUCGGAAUUACUGGGCGUAAAGCGCGCGUAGGUGGUUUGGUAAGAUGGAUGUGAAAUCCCCGGGCUCAACCUGAAAACUGCAACCAUAACUACCUGACUAGAGUACGGUAGAGGGUGGUGGAAUUUCCUGUGUAGCGGUGAAAUGCGUAGAUAUAGGAAGGAACACCAGUGGCGAAGGCGACCACCUGGACUGAUACUGACACUGAGGUGCGAAAGCGUGGGGAGCAAA
rnacentral:rRNA from 1 species